AGUUUGAUCCUGGCUCAGAACGAACGCUGGCGGCAGGCUUAACACAUGCAAGUCGAGCGCCCCGCAAGGGGAGCGGCAGACGGGUGAGUAACGCGUGGGAACGUACCCUUCGGUUCGGAAUAACUCAGGGAAACUUGGGCUAAUACCGGAUACGUCCGUGAGGAGAAAGAUUUAUCGCCGAAGGAUCGGCCCGCGUUGGAUUAGCUAGUUGGUGGGGUAAUGGCCUACCAAGGCGACGAUCCAUAGCUGGUCUGAGAGGAUGAUCAGCCACACUGGGACUGAGACACGGCCCAGACUCCUACGGGAGGCAGCAGUGGGGAAUAUUGGACAAUGGGCGAAAGCCUGAUCCAGCCAUGCCGCGUGAGUGAUGAAGGCCCUAGGGUUGUAAAGCUCUUUCAGUGGGGAAGAUAAUGACGGUACCCACAGAAGAAGCCCCGGCUAACUUCGUG
rnacentral:rRNA from 1 species